GUGAAUUUUAGGGUGCUCUUCCUCAGCUGUUUAACCGGCUGAGUGAAGAGGCCUGACCUCCACUCUCUAACACUGUGCACACUUCGGCAUUGCGAACGCUGCUUGUCAGCUAGUAGCUUUGCGGCUUCAUUUUUAACACUAGUCAAAGAAUGUAAACAAAACCAUAACAAAAA
rnacentral:misc_RNA from 1 species